rnacentral:rRNA from 1 species
AUUGAACGCUGGCGGCAGGCCUAACACAUGCAAGUCGAACGAGUGGCGGACGGGCGAGUAAUGUCUGGGAAACUGCCUGACGGACGGGGAUAACUACUGGAAACGGUAGCUAAUACCGCAUACCAUCGGAUGUGCCCUGAUGGGAUUAGCUAGUAGGGGGGGGAACGGCUCACCUAGGCGACGAUGCCUAGCUGGUCUGCGAGGAUGACCAGCCACACUGGAACUGAGACACGGUCCAGACGCCUACGGGAGGCAGCAGUGGGGAAUAUUGCACAAUGGGCGAAAGCCUGAUGGAGCCAUGCCGCGUGUAUGAAGAAGGCCUUCGGGUUGUAAAGUACUGUCAGCGGGGAGGCGUUACCCGCAGAAGAAGCACCGGCUAACUCCGUGCCAGCAGCCGCGGUAAUUC